GGGCGAUAUGUACACAUCUCAGAGCCAACUUCAACUAUACUUUCUUAGACUAGUUUACUGACAAAUCCACCUUCAAGAAGGAAUUACACCUUAAAUCCGCAUUAAUAACUCUAAUUGUAGCCCAUCUGAAACUUAACUAUAGACUGCACCUUGACCUGAAGUAAAAAACUUAUAUUUAUUGAAAACGUCCUAUUGGAGUAAUCUGACAACGGCGGUAUACAAGCUGAAAAACCAAGCUAAGUAAGAUCUAACGGGGAUUAUCGAUUACACGACAAGCUCCUCUGUGAGGUUAAGAUGCCGCCAAAAUCUUUGGGUUUGAAGAACAUCUUUUACUACCCUGACAAGUUAUUUGGCUGGGAUAACAGGGUAUCUAAUCCUGCUUUU
rnacentral:rRNA from 1 species